AACUUUGCAUAGUGACAGUAUUGUAGCCAAUGAAGCUUAUCCAAGGUGCAAUUAUUGCUGAUUGAAAACUUUUCCCAGUACCCUGCCAUGACGACUUGAAAUAUGGUCAGCAUUGGCAAUUUUUGACAGUCUCCACGGAGA
rnacentral:snRNA from 1 species